rnacentral:rRNA from 1 species
ACGAACGCUGGCGGCGUGCUUAACACAUGCAAGUCGAACGGAAAGGCCCUGCUUUUGUGGGGUGCUCGAGUGGCGAACGGGUGAGUAACACGUGAGUAACCUGCCCUUGACUUUGGGAUAACUUCAGGAAACUGGGGCUAAUACCGGAUAGGAGCUCCUGCUGCAUGGUGGGGGUUGGAAAGUUUCGGCGGUUGGGGAUGGACUCGCGGCUUAUCAGCUUGUUGGUGGGGUAGUGGCUUACCAAGGCUUUGACGGGUAGCCGGCCUGAGAGGGUGACCGGCCACAUUGGGACUGAGAUACGGCCCAGACUCCUACGGGAGGCAGCAGUGGGGAAUAUUGCACAAUGGGCGGAAGCCUGAUGCAGCAACGCCGCGUGCGGGAUGACGGCCUUCGGGUUGUAAACCGCUUUCGCCUGAGACGAAGCGUGAGUGACGGUAAUGGGUAAAGAAGCACCGGCUAACUACGUG